rnacentral:ncRNA from 1 species
AAAAUUGCUGUGAAGGAGAAGAGUACUUAACCUUUUCUAAUUAAAGCGAACCCGGGAUAGUGGGAGCCGGGCAUGGAUGGUUAAGGAAGGGCGCUCCAGAGCAAUAUUGUCUAUCGACAACUAAAGAGGCUGUGGUCAAAAUCGCAGCAAAUAGGGUGGAACCGCGGGUAAACUCUCGUCCCUAUG